GAAAUGCGAUAAGUAAUGUGAAUUGCAGAAUUCCGUGAAUCAUCGAAUCUUUGAACGCACAUUGCGCCCUCUGGCAUUCCGGGGGGCAUGCCUGUCCGAGCGUCAUUACGCACCCUCAAGCCCGGCUUGUGUGAUGGGCCCCGGCGUCUCGUUCGCGAGACGGGCCCGAAAGGCAGCGGCGGCGUCGACCCGAUGAGCCCGAGCGUAUGGGGACUUCUGUGACACGUUCGCGGUGCGGACCGGCGCCUGCUUGACUUUUCUGAUUAUCCAGGUUGACCUCGGAUCAGGUAGGGAUACCCGCUGAACUUAAGC
rnacentral:misc_RNA from 1 species